rnacentral:lncRNA from 1 species
AGAUACCUUUUUACUUUUUGAUAGAUAUACCAGAAUUAUCAUACGUAUGAAGAUAAUGUUAAAAUUUCAAAGAAGUAAGGCUGUCGCUGUAAAGGAAAUCAAGUUUCAAGAUGAACUGGUUUCUUACAAAUAUCUUGUUUGCGGUUUUGCCUCUAUAGCCUAUAACUUUCAAGUUAGUCACUAUAAAAAUGUGAAGAAGACAUCUCCAAGUUCUCUGACUUAGAAAAAUACCUUGAUACGUUGCUGCAAAGGAGUUCUCUUCCACCUGUCAUCCCAUCUCAGGGUAAACUUCAGCUGAGCCAUACACCAAUGCUACACCAGCAUCAAAUUCAAAUGAAAAACUGGUAACUCAUCUUAUGAAGUCAAUUCCAGAGGUCUCCUGCACUUGUGCCACUUCAAGUUCAAGAUGAAGCUAAAUUCAAGCUCAGUUCCCGUUGGUGUUACUGCA